UACGUAGGGUGCAAGCGUUGUCCGGAAUUAUUGGGCGUAAAGAGCUCGUAGGCGGCUUGUCGCGUCGGCUGUGAAAACCUGGGGCUCAACCCCGGGCCUGCAGCCGAUACGGGCAAGCUAGAAUUCGGUAGGGGAGACUGGAAUUCCGGGUGUAGUGGUGAAAUGCGUAGAGAUCCGGAGGAACCCCAGGGGCGAAGGCGGCGCUCUGGCUCGCAACUGACGCUCAGACACGACAGCAUGGGGAGCGAACGGG
rnacentral:rRNA from 1 species